UUCAAGAGGAAGAUGGGCAUCGAAGAGGAUCCUUAUGGAGUUUGAUAGCCAUUUGGGCAAGAAACUGCUCUUGCCUGGACUAUUGCAUAAACUGGACACAGAGAACCCGCAGAGAGAGGACUGCUAAACUUGCCUAAAGGUGAGAUGAUCUUUUGGGGUUCCUGAUUCAUGAAAGAGUCUGCAAGACAUUCUUCAGGACAAGCAGAUAGUGACUGCCUUUGAAAUUUCCUGCUUUGUGGAAAUGUCUGCUGGAAACUAUGGGCCUGUAGGCCAAAGAUGGAUGCCCCAACGGUACAGAGGAACUUUGGGUGACUGUCCAGGCAGCGAGAUGUCUCUGUCAUUUCUAGAGCUUUGGAUGUUAAGUUAAAGCCUUCUUUUUUUUUUUUUUUGUUUAAACAAAAAAAGGGGAAGUGAUGUGGGAGUGUCAUAUAUCAAUCUGUUGAUUUCAUUGGUUAAGUUAUAAUAAACCAACUGCUUGGCCUCAGCUUAGAACAUAGAUGGGAGGAGUAAACAGAAUAGAAUUCUGGGCGGAAGAGGAAGUGAGGUCAGACUCUGCUCUGCUCCCGGAGAGACCCAACAGCUCUGCUGGAGCAGAGACGCCAUGCUCAGCUCUCCCAGGCAGCUGCAACCCACGAUGGACUUAGGCUAGAAUCUUCCCGGUAUUUCCACCUCCUCAUGGAGCCAACUUAGGAUAGCUGCUCUUUACCCAAGAACUAUUUUGUCCCACGCCAGGGCAUCCUGCAAUAUCAACUAUCGUAAUUGGGAUAGAGGUAAUUCUAGCAACCUCUGAGUAGGGAGCAAAGAUGAUGUUAAAUAUUAUACAAUGAUCACAAAACCCAAUACAUCAAAAAACAUAUUCAACCCUCAACGCUACUACUGCCGAGGUUGAGAAGCUGACUUGGAGAGAAGCUAAUUCCACCUUUAUCUAGCUCAAGUUCCCCUGAAAACUCACAAACCAAACCUUGCAAAAGUAACAGAUUAAUGGUGAACACGUGAUCACUAGGAUCAAUGAACUCAAACCAGAGAUAAACUAAGGAUUCUGGGAGAGAGAGUCUCUUGUCAACUUUUGAGAGGUUUUGUAACUCUCAAAACUGGCUGUUUCUACCUAACAUAGACUAUCAGGAAGAGUUCUACUCUCUGUUGGAGAAAAAAAAAUUAAAAUACAAAAAAAUCACAGAAAGCAGCAGAAAUGCCAGGCAGCACUGGGCUGAGCUCCCAAAGUCCAGUCGAAGAGUGGGAGGAGUGAGAAUAUGAGCAAAGAGGUCAAGACCAUGAUGGGGACACCCACUGAAACAGUCUACCUGAGCUAAUGGGAGCUCACCAACUCCAGCCGGACAGGGAAGGAACCAGCAUAGGACCAAGCCAGACCUCUAAAUCUCACCUGCCGUGGUUUGAGUGUGGAGGUCAGAAGACAACUCACAGGAGCUGGCUCUCUCCUUCCACGGUGUGGAUCCUGGAGCUCACACUCUGGUAAUCGUGUUUGGAGUUUUGGUUUAGGUUUGUUCUUCCAAAGGCUGAGGACAACUCUAGGCUUCAUCAACCCAGAAAAAGGACAGAAGAAUAUUCACAGCAGACCUGGCUAACUGGUCUUUCUCUUCCUUUGCUCACCCACAAAGGAUUCCUUCCUGCAGCUUGAGCCACCAUGGAAGGCCAAGGUGCUUUUCCUUUGUUUUCUCAUUUAUCUACAAGACCAUGAUUUUCUCGGAGAUUGUGUAUGAGCUCAGACUCUAAAUACCCUCUCCCAGUCGCCAAAUAACCCUACGUGAGCACACAGCGUGCAUGUUAAUAUUGCCUGUUUUACUCAUCCAUCACUUCUUAUUCACGGAGCCUCAGUUGGCAAAUCGAAGAACAGUACAGGGAAAACUUGAAGACCAUUGCUCUGCUGGCCAUGGAAGUCGAAGAGACCCCUGAAGCCAGGAAGGAAACUGGCUCACUGGUUUAAUGAGGAUUCCUCCCUGCAAAGACACAGUGAACAGGGAGACCUGGAGCCUUGCACCUCCUGCUGCUAGGCUUGUCUCCUCCUGCUUCUUCCCACCUAUCUGUGCCUACAGCAUUGGCUCCCAGCCUUCUUCCCUCUCCUGCAGGCCCAGCCAAGUCUUUUUUGGCUCUUUUUCAACCUUCAGUAGCUAAAUGAGUUAAUUCAUAAGAGAGCCAAAAGGAAGCUGUGUUUUAGCAUUUAAUCCAAAAUGCUUUCUCCCAUUCAAUUUUUGCAUUAUUAAGACUUACACUUUAAACCACCAAUAAAUAACUAUGUUUUUAAGGACA